GACGAACGCUGGCGGCGUGCUUAACACAUGCAAGUCGAACGGAAAGGCCCUGCUUUGGUGGGGUGCUCGAGUGGCGAACGGGUGAGUAACACGUGAGUAACCUGCCCUUGACUUUGGGAUAACUUCAGGAAACUGGGUCUAAUACCGGAUAGGAGUUCCUGCUGCAUGGUGGGGGUUGGAAAGUUUAGGCGGUUGGGGAUGGACUCGCGGCCUAUCAGCUUGUUGGUGGGGUAGUGGCUUACCAAGGCCUUGACGGGUGGCCUGGCUGGGAGGGUGACCUGCCACAUUGGGACUGGGAUGCGGCACAGACUCCUACGGGAGGCAGCAGUGGGGAAUAGUGCACAAUGGGCGGAAGCCUGAUGCAGCAACGCCGCGUGGGGGAUGACGGCCUUCGGGUUGUAAUCCGCUUUCACCUGUGACGAAGCGUUAGUGACGGUAAUGGGUGAAGAAGCACCGGCUAACUACGUG
rnacentral:rRNA from 1 species